CGCUGGCAGACGCCGGUCGGGCGAGUGCGGUGGGGUAACUGCGGGUACCGCCUCCGCCGCUCUCCUAACGGGUGCUGGCUGAGGGAGGAGCCGAAGGAGAGGGCCCAGAGACGGGGCUGCGGAACAAGGAGAGCGGCCUUCGCUUAAAAACUGCUUUGCCGUCCCUAGUCUUUGUGGGAAAAUAAAGUGCUCCUCCCUGUUUCAGAUCAUGGCUCUGCCUUGGGAACAUCCUCUCUUGGGGUGCUGCGCUUGACUCCUGCUGCAAACGCUGAAGACAGGAGUUUGCAUUUUCCAUUGAGCAUUUCUACUAUCAGCCCUGCAAAUUCACUCAUGGCCUUAGAGACAACAGGCUGAGGGAAAUGCUGACAACUGGGCUUGAGAGAAGCUCUCAUCUGCCUGCCUCAUGAUUUUUGGUAUCUAGUCCAAGAAGCUAGCUGCCUCCCGACAUCUCAGGAUGAAGAUGCUCAUGCAGCUUUAAUUUGAGAAUAAAAUGAGAAAAAACACUUAUAUUUCAGAACAGCUGAAAAAUAAAGGUGCCCUGGAAGGGAUCUGAACAUGGACUUUGCACAGCCUGACUGACUACAAGGCACGAUGGCUUUCACACACUCCGCAUCGCUGCCAGGCUCCUGCUACACCACAGUUAACACACAGGCUUUGCAGGAGCUGUGAAGCAGAUGUGCAGGACCAGGAUUCAAGGACGCCACUGUUUCUUGACAUUUCUUUGGUGUGGGAGCUAACCACCAGCCAUGGCAUGAAGCAUGUCUUCCAGCCUUGCUUUUGAAUGAAAGUGGUUACGGCUGCUCUGUUUUGUGCCUUGCUCUAAUAGUUAGGUUGGUUACAAUGUCAAGCACAUGUCUGAUGAGCCACUUACUUGUGUCCAAAGGGAUUACUACAUUUAGGAAAUAACCCAGGGGCCACUGUACACAGGUACCUAACUCAAGGCCACAAGUAAAUACCCAAGUCCUAGGGAAGGGUGAGGCGCCACACAUGCCCCAUCCUUCCUGAUUUUCUUCAGUAUUCCCCUGCUCAGCACCCUGGCUGCUGUAAAUCUCAUUCCCAAUACCAGCUGCUCCAGGGUGUUGGUCAUCUAAUUGUGGCUCACAAACUUAAAAGCAAGUGACUGUAAAGCAGCUGUGGAGAUGUUUGGCAAAACCAAGCCUUACUGUGUCUUGACCUUGGUAUAUAAAAAUGCACCUUUCUUCAGCUAAUGUAUAGUACCUGCUCUUAGGCAGUACAAACAAUACCUUACCUCACCGGAAAAAUCCAGCCAAAGCUCUUAGCACUGCUAUAGCUGAUGCCAGUCCACCAUUUUUAAUCCUACAAAGCUCAGUAGGAUUUGAACACAGUUAAAAGCUGUAUGAUCUACUGUCUUGCUGACCCUGCCUGACCUAGCGGUCUAGUGUAAAACAAACAGCACAGGCCCACAUACACGCUAGCUGUGAGUACUACGCACUAGGACAAUGCAGCCUUUCCAGGUGACUCUGGCUAAAUUCCUCUGCAACCCUCUACCCGCAACCUGCCUUGCAGGUCACGUGGAUGCAACAGUGGCAGGUCCUGACUCUUAAUAAUUGAUUAUGUACAGGCACCAUAGGGGUCAUUCAGCUGCUGGGCCUUGUGCGCAGUCCUAGCAGCUGUUCCCCAUUUCCAGCAAAGCAAAGGAAUUUUCUGCGGGCAAAGCAUGGCCCUUGGGCUGCCAGUCAGAGCACCCCUUUUAUAGGUGAAA